UCCACCUCCUCCUAUCCCACCUUCCUCUCAGGAUCCGAGCAGCAGACGACUCCGGAGGCGACGCUGGGCUGACAGCAGAGGAUGCGCCAGCUGGUGGAAAUGAAGGUGUGAUGGACACUGAGGGCCUUUCUCAGAGUGUACAAUCACCAGAAACUGGUUUCGCGAAGGAGCCAUUAUCCCAAAGGGACAAUGGCUGUAUCUACAUGGCAUAAGAAGGCUGUCAUGAUUUUCAGCUAACUUCAAAAACACCCAUCUGAACACAUUCUGGGGAAAGCGGGGCUGUCUCUACCUCAAACCAUGUGAAAAGAAUGGGUUGUCAAGACAAGAGCUAAGCAGAACCUAAUCUCCACCCGUCUGACAGCUUCCCCAAACAAUUUACUGCCACCACUAGAAACCAUUCUUCAUGCCCAUAAUAAAGGUUUGCCAACCAUCCAAGAAGAAAAUCAAUUACCAAACAUGCCAUGCCAUGAGGAACAAAUGCAGGGUCUAAAUGCCACCGCCUUAUGAACAAGUCACAUCUAAAGGGGCAUUUAGAUCAACUAUGUUGGGAACAUAUGGAAAUUUUCUACUUUCUGGAAAGUCAGCAGAGAUUUGAAAGUUUACAGGGAAUUUCCCAAGUGGUCACAGUCAAUGGACCCUGCUUGACUUUAGGGAAAUAUUCCUUUAUAAAAUUUAUGGUAAAAGAUUUUGCUGUAGACAUUCCCCAAUGGCCUAACAUUAAUCAAAUCUCUUUUCUCCAUAACCAAGUAUGAACAGGAUCUCUAAACAAGGAAGGUGUGUAAUUGGAUUCUCUAUUUCAUUGUCUAGGACUAGAGCCUUGGAGUAGAAUGGUUGCUAGAGUCACAGAGCAACAGUCUAGCAAGUUAAAAAUAACCAUAUUUUAUUUUUGGUUAGGGAUGUCUUGAUUAACAUCUAUUUGAUCAUCAUGGAGGCUUAAAAAAAAAUGUUAACC